rnacentral:rRNA from 1 species
UACAGAGGGGGCAAGCGUUAUUCGGAAUUAUUGGGCGUAAAGGGCGCGUAGGCGGCCUGGCAAGUGGAAGGUGAAAUCCCUCGGCUUAACCGAGGAACUGCCCUCCAAACUGCUUGGCUUGAGUCCGGGAGAGGUGAGUGGAAUUCCCAGUGUAGCGGUGAAAUGCGUAGAUAUCAGUCGGAACACCGGUGGCGAAGGCGGCUUCUUGGGCCGUUCCUGACGCUGAGGCGCGAAAGCCAGGGGAGCGAACGGG